CAAUAGCGUAUAUUAAAGUUGUUGCGGUUAAAAAGCUCGUAGUUGGAUUUCUGUUGGGAACGACCGGUCCGCCCAUUGGGUGUGUAUCUGGCUUGUUCUCGGCAUCUUCUUGGUGAACGUUGCUGCACUUGACUGUGUGGAGCGCUACCCAGGACUUUUACUUUGAGGAAAUUAGAGUGUUUCAAGCAGGCAUAUGCCUUGAAUACAUUAGCAUGGAAUAAUAAGAUAGGACCUCGGUUCUAUUUUGUUGGUUUCUAGAGCUGAGGUAAUGAUUAAUAGGGAUAGUUGGGGGCAUUCGUAUUUAACUGUCUGAGGUGAAAUUCUUGGAUUUGUUAAAGACGGACUACUGCGAAAGCAUUUGCCAAGGAUGUUUUCAUUGA
rnacentral:rRNA from 1 species